CAUGUCACUUUCGUUUCUUUAUGAUCUUAUCACCCCCCGUGCUCUCUCGCCAAGUUUCGACUUUGACUUUACUCUCUCUCUCUCUCUCUCUUACUCUCUCUCACACGCUUUUUUUAAGUGUUGGUUGUUCGAUCUGGGUCUCAGGCGUAGCUUUGGGGCUUGAGAAAACUUUGGGAUCUUUGUGUUUUCUUGUUCUGCUCUUAUCUGAACUCACUGGGUUAUCAGCUGUAGCUUGGAAUAGUGAAACGGUCGUGGGAUCCUUUUUUUGGAGAAUUAUAGAACAGCAUGCGGUGGUCGCUGAGUCUCUCCGUCGACGUCUUUCGCAAAGUCAUCUCUCUGAACCUUUAUUGCCGAGUAAUUCUGUAGUUCCUUCCAUCUAUUCAGAACCCCUCAAGUUUUGUCCAUUUUCGUUUUGUAUCUCUCUCUAAAUUCUCCAUGGGAUCCAACUUCCUCAUCGUUGUCCCUUGUUAUGUCCGCCAGAUUAGCUGAACAGUACUGGACCUUGUUCGCGUAGUUUCAUUUGAAACUUGUUUUCAUCACGGUAGACAUUCUAGUUGUGGUUAUAUUGUAUUUGUCCAUUUCAGUUCCCAUUCAAUUGUAUUGGGCAUCUGUUUCUUAGUGAUAAAGAUUCACUUUUUCUGUUGAA